UGGGGAAUAUUGCACAAUGGGCGCAAGCCUGAUGCAGCUAUGCCGCGUGUAUGAAGAAGGCCUUCGGGUUGUAAAGUACUUUCAGCGGGGAGGAAGGGAGUAAAGUUAAUACCUUUGCUCAUUGACGUUACCCGCAGAAGAAGCACCGGCUAACUCCGUGCCAGCAGCCGCGGUAAUACGGAGGGUGCAAGCGUUAAUCGGAAUUACUGGGCGUAAAGCGCACGCAGGCGGUUUGUUAAGUCAGAUGUGAAAUCCCCGGGCUCAACCUGGGAACUGCAUCUGAUACUGGCAAGCUUGAGUCUCGUAGAGGGGGGUAGAAUUCCAUGUGUAGCGGUGAAAUGCGUAGAGAUGUGGAGGAAUACCGGUGGCGAAGGCGGCCCCCUGGACAAAGACUGACGCUCAGGUGCGAAAGCGUGGGGAGCAAACAGG
rnacentral:rRNA from 1 species